rnacentral:rRNA from 1 species
AUUGAACGCUGGCGGCAUGCCUUACACAUGCAAGUCGAACGGCAGCACGGGAGCAAUCCUGGUGGCGAGUGGCGAACGGGUGAGUAAAGUAUCGGAACGUGCCCAGUCGUGGGGGAUAACGUAGCGAAAGUUACGCUAAUACCGCAUACGAUCUAUGGAUGAAAGCGGGGGAUCGCAAGACCUCGCGCGAUUGGAGCGGCCGAUAUCAGAUUAGGUAGUUGGUGGGGUAAAGGCCCACCAAGCCGACGAUCUGUAGCUGGUCUGAGAGGACGACCAGCCACACUGGGACUGAGACACGGCCCAGACUCCUACGGGAGGCAGCAGUGGGGAAUUUUGGACAAUGGGCGAAAGCCUGAUCCAGCCAUGCCGCGUGCAGGAUGAAGGCCUUCGGGUUGUAAACUGCCUUUGUACGGAACGAAAAGGACUGCCCUAAUACGGUGGUCCCAUGACGGUACCGUAAGAAUAAGCACCGGCUAACUACGUGCCAGCCGCCGCAGUAAAAC